rnacentral:rRNA from 1 species
UACGUAGGGACCGAGCGUUGUCCGGAUUCAUUGGGCGUAAAGAGCUCGUAGGCGGCCACUCAAGUCGAAUGUGAAACCUCGAGGCUCAACCUCGAGCCUGCAUUCGAUACUGGGCGGCUAGAGUCUGGUAGGGGGGAUCUGGAAUUCCUGGUGUAGCGGUGGAAUGCGCAGAUAUCAGGAGGAACACCGGUGGCGAAGGCGCCACUCUGGGCCGGUACUGACGCUGAGGAGCGAAAGCGUGGGGAGCGAACAGG